rnacentral:lncRNA from 1 species
GCUGAUGAAUGGAAGAGGCAGGAAUCAAACCUACAUCUCUCUGGCUCCAAAGCCCUUACUGUUUGCUGAGGAUGGCAGUCAAGAAAUGAUCUACUAGAGUCAAGGUCAUAUAGCAUAUAGAUGAUCCAGAAUCAGCACAAUUUGGGGAGAAGAAAAAGAAUCAGCUCAUCUGGCUCCUUCUACUCACUCUGAUCCUCCUGCCUCCCUCUUAUAAAGACCCUUGUGAUGGCGUGAGGAGUGCCAGAGGCCAGGCAGCCCAGCUUUGUGAAUGCUCCGUGUGCCGCAGCCUGAAGGCACCCAGCCUGUGCCCUACCUGCUGCCAAGAUGCCCCAGGGGAAGUGAUAUCCACUGACCUACAGGUGGCAUUCUGUGUAACACACAUGUGCUGGUGAUUAUUGCGAAAGAAAGUAAAGAGGGAGAAGGGUCAUGAAGGACGGAUGAGGCGAAGCACUUCAGACUUUAUCAAGAAAUGGAAACUGGAACCUAGCUUUUUAUGCACUGGAAAUAAUUCUUGGUCUCAUGUGAUUUGGAGCUUCACAAGCAGUUUUUCCGAGGCCUAAGAAAAUGUGGCUGAAUAAAAGAUUCCUACAUCUGCAGAACUGAGAUACAUUCUGGUCUUUUGAUGCCCCUCAGGAAUGCCCUAUUUAACCCCAAAUGAACUGUUAUUAACUGGCAUGGCAGAUAAUACACAUGUGAAUAUUC